rnacentral:rRNA from 1 species
CAGGCUUAACACAUGCAAGUCGAGGGGCAGCAUUUUAGUUUGCUUGCAAACUGAAGAUGGCGACCGGCGCACGGGUGAGUAACACGUAUCCAACCUGCCGAUAACUCCGGGAUAGCCUUUCGAAAGAAAGAUUAAUACCGGAUAGCAUACGAAUAUCGCAUGAUAUUUUUAUUAAAGAAUUUCGGUUAUCGAUGGGGAUGCGUUCCAUUAGUUUGUUGGCGGGGUAACGGCCCACCAAGACUACGAUGGAUAGGGGUUCUGAGAGGAAGGUCCCCCACAUUGGAACUGAGACACGGUCCAAACUCCUACGGGAGGCAGCAGUGAGGAAUAUUGGUCAAUGGGCGAGAGCCUGAACCAGCCAAGUAGCGUGAAGGAUGAAGGCUCUAUGGGUCGUAAACUUCUUUUAUAUGGGAAUAAAGUUUUCCACGUGUGGAAUUUUGUAUGUACCAUAUGAAUAAGGAUCGGCUAACUCCGUGCCAGCAGCCGCGGUAAUACGGAGGAUCCGAGCGUUAUCCGGAUUUAUUGGGUUUAAAGGGAGCGUAGGUGGAUUGUUAAGUCAGUUGUGAAAGUUUGCGGCUCAACCGUAAAAUUGCAGUUGAAACUGGCAGUCUUGAGUACAGUAGAGGUGGGCGGAAUUCGUGGUGUAGCGGUGAAAUGCUUAGAUAUCACGAAGAACUCCGAUUGCGAAGGCAGCUCACUAGACUGUCACUGACACUGAUGCUCGAAAGUGUGGGUAUCAAACAGGAUUAGAUACCCUGGUAGUCCGCACAGUAAACGAUGAAUACUCGCUGUUUGCGAUAUACAGUAAGCGGCCAAGCGAAAGCAUUAAGUAUUCCACCUGGGGAGUACGCCGGCAACGGUGAAACUCAAAGGAAUUGACGGGGGCCCGCACAAGCGGAGGAACAUGUGGUUUAAUUCGAUGAUACGCGAGGAACCUUACCCGGGCUUAAAUUGCAACAGAAUAUAUUGGAAACAGUAUAGCCGUAAGGCUGUUGUGAAGGUGCUGCAUGGUUGUCGUCAGCUCGUGCCGUGAGGUGUCGGCUUAAGUGCCAUAACGAGCGCAACCCUUAUCUUUAGUUACUAACAGGUUAUGCUGAGGACUCUAGAGAGACUGCCGUCGUAAGAUGUGAGGAAGGUGGGGAUGACGUCAAAUCAGCACGGCCCUUACGUCCGGGGCUACACACGUGUUACAAUGGGGGGUACAGAAGGCGGCUACCUGGUGACAGGAUGCUAAUCCCAAAAACCUCUCUCAGUUCGGAUCGAAGUCUGCAACCCGACUUCGUGAAGCUGGAUUCGCUAGUAAUCGCGCAUCAGCCAUGGCGCGGUGAAUACGUUCCCGGGCCUUGUACACACCGCCCGUCAAGCCAUGAAAGCCGGGGGUACCUGAAGUACGUAACCGCAAGGAGCGUCCUAGGGUAAAACUGGUAAUUGGGGC